UGCCUCCUCCCUCCCUCUCUCUCGCGUUCCCGCCCCCUCGCCGCUCGGCUCCUGGCGUGACUCGGCACUGAGCGCCCCGGGAGCCGCUCCGCCACCGCCGCCGCCUCUGUCCAGGCCUCGGCCUUCCGAGCAUCCCCGCUUCCGCUCCCGGUCGUCUUCUCCUUCAGUUUCGCAGCGGGUGGCGUCGCGGCCUCCCUUCCGGGCCCCGAGAAUGGUGGGAGUGAAGCCGGUCGGGAGCGACCCGGAUUUCCAGCCGGAGCUGAGCGGCGCCGGCUCCAGACUCGCCGUGGUCAAGUUCACCAUGCGAGGGUGUGGACCAUGUUUAAGGAUUGCCCCAGCAUUCAGUACUAUGAGUAAUAAGUAUCCACAGGCAGUUUUCUUGGAAGUAGAUGUACACCAGUGUCAGGGAACAGCUGCCACCAACAACAUAUCAGCAACACCUACGUUUUUGUUUUUUCGAAACAAAGUGAGGAUUGAUCAAUAUCAAGGAGCAGAUGCUGUGGGACUAGAAGAAAAAAUCAAGCAGCACUUAGAAAAUGACCCUGGAAGUAAUGAGGACACAGAUAUUCCAAAAGGCUAUAUGGAUUUAAUGCCUUUUAUUAACAAAGCUGGCUGUGAAUGUCUUAAUGAAAGUGAUGAGCAUGGAUUUGACAACUGUUUACGAAAAGACAUGACCUUCUUGGAGUCUGAUUGUGAUGAACAGCUGCUUAUUACUGUGGCAUUUAAUCAACCUGUGAAGCUUUAUUCAAUGAAAUUUCAAGGGCCAGAUAAUGGUCAAGGUCCUAAAUACGUAAAAAUUUUUAUCAAUCUGCCCCGAUCUAUGGAUUUUGAAGAAGCAGAAAGAAGUGAACCAACUCAAGCUCUGGAACUAACAGAGGAUGAUAUUAAAGAAGAUGGCAUUGUUCCACUUCGCUAUGUUAAGUUUCAGAAUGUUAACAGUGUAACUAUAUUUGUUCAGUCCAAUCAAGGUGAAGAAGAAACAACAAGAAUUUCAUAUUUUACUUUCAUUGGUACUCCAGUCCAGGCAACAAAUAUGAAUGACUUCAAACGACUUUUUUAAUCCAACUCAAAUGAACUAAAACCAGAAGAUUUUUUAAAAAUGAAGUAAUACAAAGAUUGACCUUAUCUCACUCCACUCCCCUUCUUGCUUCUCUGCUCAUCUUGCACCUGUCUGCUCUCACCCUUCCCAUGUUCUCAUCAUUGUUGGUGCAGGAUGUCUACAGCUUCUGUCAUCUGGAUCAGCCUUACUGUUACCUAAAUUUCCUCAGCUAUCUCGUUCCUCAAUCUCAUUCUAGUCAUGUUUCCCCACUGGCUUUUCAUUUUGUUUUGGUUUUUGUUUUGGGCUUGCAACUAGGUGCUUUUAUUUUAUUACCAUAUUAUCUUGUUCCCCCGAAUUUUUGUUGUUGUUUUACAUUCUCCUGUCUCAUAUUUAAUUUUGUACUAUCUUUGCGAAAUAAUAUUGCAAUAAAAUAUACAUUGUUGUAGUUUCAAAUUUAACUAGUUGUUGGAUAAUGUUUUUAAUCCAAUCUGAAGUUUAAAUUUGAUUUUUUAGGAACUAUAAAAUCAUUUUGGAAACCAAAUAUAAACAGUUUCAUCAAGUUCUUUUAUACAAGUACUAGUGUAAUAUAUUGAUCAGGCUGUAGUUAAGAGAUGUGGUUUUCUUCUUUUUUAUCUCAUUGAAACUGUGGCACAGAAGUCAUUUUGCUUAUUAAUUGUGGGUGUAUCCUAUGCUUUGCCUGCCCAAGCAAACUCAAGGCCAGUCGAAAGACUUAUGAACUGAAUAUUAGGCUGGUUUAAAAUAUUAAUAUGGAAGAAAAGUGGACUCUUUACUGAAUAAAUACUAUGGAUACCUAAUUUUAAUGUACCUAGACUUUUGUUUCUGUGAGGUGUUAACAUAAAGACUUAAAAAGAAAUAAAAGAACUUUACGUUUGGGUAGUUGGCAAAAAAGGAGAAAGUCACUAAGAUACAAAAGACACGGGAAGACUACAUUGCAAUCAGACCUACAGCUCCUGGAUGACUGCUUGAUUCUCGCCAGACUGUCACUAUUCCAUUCAUUGCCAUUACCAAUAAAUCAUUGCUUUUGUUCCGAUGAUAUCACUAGUGUUUCUAUUGUAAUCUUGAUACAUGCAAUUGUAAAUAAAAGUCACUACUUUUGCCAAGCUUAAUUUUUGUCAUUCUAAAUAAGUAUUUUCACUUUCCACUUAUUUGAAAAUUGGCUGACUUUGGAUUUUAGAAGAGACUUAGGUGUCAGGUAGCAUAUUAAACUAAAGCCAGUUUCUCCUUUUAAAGGAGCACAACUGUUUGGGGGAAUUAAGAAAUACAUGUGCCCUCAUAUACAGACAUACACAGCAGGUGAUUUUGAUAAAUGCACUUGAAACAGCUAACCAUGUUCUAAUGAGUAAAAACUCAUGUUUAUUAAACUACAUUUGGGUACCUGGGCUAUAGAAAUUACUCAAAUUAUAAAAUACCAGAAAUACAACAAAUUUAAUGAAUUUAACUGUUCUCACCUAAAAUUUUUAGUUAAUGAAACCUCAUAUUUUAACCCUUCCUGGGUAAACUUUAAAAAUUUGACUUAGCCAUUUCCUUUGCUAAUAGAGGUAUAUUGUAAUUUGGCAGUAGAGAAAAUACAGAACUCAGAAUUCAUGAAGCAACGUGAAUUAUUAUCUUUUAGUGAAGUAUUAUUUUAACUACCAAAAGACACAGUGUAAAUAUUCAGAAGACUUGGUUUAAGGUUGAAAAUGAGUUGGCCAAAGGUAUAUGUUUAAAAGGUCUUUCACAAAAAGCUGGCAAAACAAAACAUCUGUUCCUUAUUAUUUAAACCUUAAAACUAUAAAGUAUUGGUAAAUAUAAUUUUUCAAUUUCUCUAUUUUUAAAAUUAAAAUGUAAUAUUUUAAUUUCUCUAAAUACUUAAAAAAUUCAGUGUUUGAAAAGAGUACCUAAGACUAAUAGUUUUUUUAAAUUUUUUUAUGUUUUUAGUGAUUUCAGAGAGAGGAAGGGAGAGGGAGAAAGAAAAACAUCGAUGAUGAGAGAGAUAUUGAUCAGUUGUCCCCCGCACCCCAUAUUGGGGAUUGAGCCUGCAAGGCAUGUGCCUUGACUGAGAACCGAACCAGCCACCUCUCAGUGCAUGGGCUGAUGCUCAACCACUGAGCCACACUAAUAGUUUUAAUUCAAUUAAUUAAAUAGUACAUUUAAAGACAUUUUUGUCUAGGAAUAUGGUAGAGGUACCAUUUUGUCUUUGUGAGACCAAUGUGUUUAUACAUGUUUCUGAAAAGAAGUAUGUAUCAGUUUUUGUGUUAAAAUAGUCACUUUUUGAAACCCCAGGGCCAUUAGAUACUGUUUAGUUCCUUCUAAUGUCAGCACAUUAACUGGUCUGUGGUAAUGUCUAUAUCUAUGUAUUUCAUUUUUAUGUUGCCUUGGGUCAAGUGGAGGCCGUAGGGCAAGAAAUAAAAGUUUAUAACACUCUUUAAUAUAGACUAUCUCAGAUUAAUCACAUUUGAAGUUAAGGAUUAGAUUAAUAUUGAAAUUUGUUCUACCCUUUGUACACUUCACCUUUUUGAAUUGUUAAAGUGCCUAUCUGAAGUAUUGCUGACCUCUAUUUAUACUUGCCAAUUUGAAAACUCAAUGAAAGUAAUUUCAUAUUUGUAAAGGAUUGGGCAUCAGAUUUAUAUUGUUUAUGUGACUUUUCUAUAACUCAAUUGGUUGCCUUAUACAACCAUUCCAUAAUUCAAGUUGUAAAUAGGGAAAAAUGAAUGUUUAUAGGCAACUGUAACAUGUUUCACUAUGGGAAGUUUUACAAAUAAACAUGCUUAGUUGACAUUAUUUAAAUUA